CACGUAGGCAGCGAGCGUUUGUUCGGAGUUACUGGGCGUAAAGGGUGUGUAGGCGGUUCUUUUAAGUUUGGCGUGAAAUCUCCCGGCUCAACCGGGAGGGUGCGUCGAAUACUGAGGGACUAGAGUACGGGAGAGGAAAGUGGAAUUCCUGGUGUAGCGGUGAAAUGCGUAGAUAUCAGGAGGAACACCGGUGGUGUAGACGGCUUUCUGGACCGUAACUGACGCUGAGACACGAAAGCGUGGGUAGCAAACAGG
rnacentral:rRNA from 1 species